rnacentral:lncRNA from 1 species
AGCCAAGCAGAAAGAUCAAAGACGAUAACCAGGAAGCAUGAAGAGCUGCGCCGGGUCUCCACAAGAGCGAAAGAAAACAACAACAAAACCCAAACCAGAGCUGGAAAGCUGACCCUGACUCCUACUGAUGGCACCAUUGGCUGGAGCAGUGCUGGAGAGCUCACCCUGGUGGUGGGGAUCCAGAAAGCUGGGGUGCUGACCAGCUCAGCUAUCAUCCAGGCCCAGAUUCAGUCCUCUGCUGAGUUGACCCACCCCAAAAUCUACCUCACCUGUGAACUACUGGAGUGUGUGAAAGGGUAGGACCUGCUAAUCCAAAACUGGAGGAUCUCCAUGAUACAGGACACCAAAAGGAUAUCCAGGAGGAGUCCCAGUGAGGAUUCAAUGUUGAUGGUGUCACCAAAGCCAGAGACCUUAGACCAGACCAGUGACUCAUUGCAAUGAAUAUACGCAAGGGAAGAUGUGUGGACAGAGGGGUAUUCUGUGGGGGCACAUUGUGACACAGUAUAGAUUGUAUGAUGAGAUGUUUUUUAUGCUUUGUUUUGUUUAUUUUUUGUUUAUAUCUUUUUAUUUCCUUUCGGGGGAGGGGGUUUGCAAGGGUGGAGGGUGAGCACAAGGGGACAGGGAAUACAAAAAUAAAAAACCACAAUCCAUUCUUCUUCCUAUUGGGGAACUAUUAGAGAAAGCUAGCACAGUCACGUAUGGAGUCCUAGGGAUACAGCCAUGAAUAGACUUGGAACUUCCUUUAAAUGGGAGUUGAGAAGACUAUCAUCAAACAUCUAAGGUUAUUUCAAUCAGUCUUGGAAACCAGGCUCACUUUCUUUUUCCUACAUGGCUGUGUAAGCUGGCUGAUCAUCGUCUCUCAAGUUGCUUUACCAUAUAGCUAUCUGGAGGAAAGACUGUAGAAUUUUAAUUCUCAAGGGCAAUGACAAAAUUAGAGUCACACACUCUGCCUUAAAUGACACCAACUCCAUCCUAUACCAUAGGUAAUAAUGAAAUGUUGAUUGUAGUAGGGCCAAAAGGAUACAACCAAUACAAUUUAUUAUGUAAAUUUAUUGGUAUUCCAUUUGUGUUGUAUGUACACAUGUAUAUGUGUGGAUCCAGAGGCUUGCCUGGUGGCCUGCCCUAUCACUCUCCCUUCAUUCCAUUGACACUCUGUCUCUUACUGAACCAAAAGCUAAGCUGCUAUCUCUGUUUCCCACAGUUGGAGUUAGACAAAGGGUGUCUGGCUACACUCAGCUUUUGACAUGCAUGUUGAGGACUUGAACUUGUGUCCUCAUGCACAGGUCUCUCUCAGCACUCUUACUUGCUGAGCCCUCACCCUAGUGAGAGGCCACAUUUUUGCUUAUCAAUCAUAGCCAUUGUAUUGUUUUCUAUUUUUGUGCAUUAUAUGCUGUGAGAAGAAGCUGACUCAAGCAUACUUGCCAAAUAGCUGUCUCUUGAGGAUUCUUCCAGUAUUUACCACUCCUUAAGCACGCACAUAGCCUUGGGAGCUUCCAGUAAGAACUGUUUUAUUUAUUUAUUUAUUUAUUUUAGAUAUUAUUUAUGGUGGAGGAAAGAAGGACACAGAUUAAUACCAGAGGUCUAACACAGGUUAAUACUCUGGUCUGCUUAGACCAGAGUCAAAAAGGUUGGCUUAGGGAAUAUAACAAAAAAAAGAACAGAAAAAAAUAUGGAAGAGCUGGACAAUGCACUACAAUGUCUUCUAGACAAGACAAGGCAAUUACGCUCAUGAACUCACAACACUUGCACAAGACCUGCCUGGGAUUGGGCCCAUCAAUAUUCCAUCUUGGAAGGAGGAGGGGCUUAUGAGGCCCAUCCUCCUUAAAGUUGGGGUGGGGGAGGAGGAACUACUUCCUUUAGUGGUAUAGCUGCUGAUCAGUAGUCCAUGCUCUUUUAAGUAAUCUCCCAUUAAUGCUCAUGCCAACCACCUUAGUUCAACCCAGUGAAACACACACAUACAAACAACAUGAAAGCAGAAAGAAGAGGUGUUGGGAAGAAGGGUCUCAAUGGGAAAGAGAGGGUGAAAGUGGUGGAAACAACCUUCAUUAUACACAGGUAAGAAAGGAACUGUCAAAUGUAAAUGGUUUUCAAAAGUACUUUAUUGGAUGUUUUCCUUCCUAUAAAUAACUGCCUUGAGAACCUCAUUGGAAGAUGUAUCUUCUUUUAGUA